ensembl:snRNA U6 U6 spliceosomal RNA
GUGCUUGCUUUGGCAGUAUAUACACUAAAAUUGGAACAAUACAGAGAAGAGGAGCAUGCACCCUCCUCCAAGAUGAAACGCAAGUUCAUGUUCUGUUUAAAAUACCA